rnacentral:rRNA from 1 species
UACGUAGGGGGCGAGCGUUGUCCGGAUUUACUGGGCGUAAAGCGCGUGUAGGCGGCUGUCUAAGUUGGGUGUGAAAGCCCGGGGCUCAACCCCGGGACGCCGCCCAAGACUGGACGGCUUGAGGACGGAAGAGGGGCGUGGAAUUCCAGGUGUAGCGGUGAAAUGCGUAGAGAUCUGGAGGAACACCCGUGGCGAAGGCGGCGCCCUGGUCCGUUACUGACGCUGAGACGCGAAAGCGUGGGGAGCAAACAGG